rnacentral:rRNA from 1 species
GACGAACGCUGGCGGCGUGCUUAACACAUGCAAGUCGAACGAGGUGAUUGAAAGCUUGCUUUUGAGAACCGAGUGGCAAACGGGUGAGUAACACGUGGGUGACCUACCUUUUUGUUGGGGAUAACAGUUGGAAACGAUUGCUAAUACCGAAUAAAAUGUAAGAGUCAAUUUUACAUUGAAAGGAGCCUUUAAAGCUUCGCGAUUAGAUGGGCCUGCGGCGUAUUAACUAGUUGGUGAGGUAAUGGCUUACCAAGGUGACGAUGCGUAGCCGAACUGAGAGGUUGAUCGGCCACAUUGGGACUGAGACACGGCCCAAAACUCCUACGGGAGACAGCAGUUAGGAAUAUUCGUCAAUGGAGGAAACUCUGAACGAGCAAUGCCGCGUGAGUGAUGAAGGUCUUAUAGAUUGUAAAACUCUGUUGUAUGGAAAAAACGACUAGGUUAGGAAAUGAACUUAGUGUGAUGGUACCAUACCAGAAAGCCCCGG